rnacentral:rRNA from 1 species
UCGAGAAUCAUUCGCAAUGGGCGAAAGCCUGACGAUGCGACGCCGUGUGAGCGAUGAAGGCCUUCGGGUUGUAAAGCUCUUUCGCCUGGGAACAAGAGAAUGCGACGAAUAGUCGUGUGAUUUGAGUGUACCAGGUAAAGAAGCACCGGCUAACUCCGUGCCAGCAGCUGCGGUAAUACGGAGGGUGCAAGCAUUAAUCGGAAUUAUUGGGCGUAAAGGGCGUGUAGGCGGUUUUUUAAGUUGGAUGUGAAAUUCCGGGGCUCAAACCCGGAGCUGCAUUCAAAACUGGGAGACUAGAGGGUUGACGGAGAAAACGGAAUUCCACAUGUAGCGGUGAAAUGCGUAGAUAUGUGGAAGAACACCUGUGGCGAAAGCGGUUUUCUAGUUAACACCUGACGCUGAGGCGCGAGAGCAAGGGGAGCAAACAGG